GACAGGGAGCUUCCGGUGGCUGCUGCGCAUGCGCCUCCCUGCCCACGCCGCCAUCUUCCUCCCUGGAGCUCCGGGCCUCCAUUUCUUGUGCCUCUGCCCUGCGAGGCUGGGGUUGGAUUGGGCUUCUCUUCGGGGGUUGGUGUCCCUUGGGGAUACGGCUGUGGACAUUACCUAGGACAAGUGGCAGCAUCUGGACAAUGCUCAGAGGACCCUGUACAGAGACAUGAUGCUGGAGGCCUAUAGCAUCCUCACAUCAUUGAGUAGCUGAUCCACGGAAAUGUGGCCGAAAUCAAAGCGGAAGAAUGGAAAAUACCAGCCCGAGACGCCCACGUUGUUAUCAGAAUAAAACAAAAAGAAGUGAGAAAACAAAUGGCAGGUGAAGAGCACUUGGGUGAAAACUAUCACUAAGCAGUAGAUGUUCAGAUAGUGGAUGACCUAAUUGAAAGGGGCCAAAAGAGUCACGGUGGAUGCUCGUGGCAAACUGUCAUCAGCAACGGCAUUACAUCAACUAAGGAGAGAGCUGAAUUAGGAAAAACAUUUCAUUUGAGCUCAAAGGACAUUUUAAUUUAGAUUAUAAAUCAUGGAAACUAUUUGGGAAGGUGGCCUGAGGAGUUUAUCUAAAAGCAUGCUUCUCCUUAGUGAGCCUGGUGAGAUGCAGGCUGGAGAGAAACAAUGCCUGUAAUGUACCUGAGGAAUCUCACAGGCAUCAUGAGUACCUCUGUCGGCAUCACAAGUUUCAAACUGGGCUGCAGUAUUUGGAAUAUGGUGGACAUGGGAAGGCCUUCAACGCAGAGGUGGCAAUCAUAAGAGGGUUCAUAUUGGAGGGACCUCCUGCAAGGAUAGUGGAUAUGGGAAAGCCUGUGAUAAGUCAGCUCUUGUUGCCCAACAGAAAACUCAGGUUGGGAGCAAAAGUUGCCUUAAAAUAUUUAACCUUCCUAAACAUCAGCAAAUACAGGACAAAAAUUCUAUGAAUGUACUGAAUGUGAGAAAAUGCUAGUUAGAAAAUCCAAUCUUAUAUAGUACAUCAGAGGACACAUACAGGGAAAAUCUGUGCAUUCAGCCAGUGUGAGAAAUCCCUCAGCCAUAAGUCAGGCCUUGAAAUCCGUGACAGAAUUCAUACAGGGGAAAAGCUCUACGGAUGUAAUGAAUGUGGGAAAACCUUUUAUACAUCACAGAAUUCGCACAAGAGAGAAAGCCUAUGAAUGUAACAAGUGUGGUAAGACCUUCUGUGAGAAGUCAGCCUUCAGUGUACAUCAGAGAACUCUGACAAGGGAAAACCCCUAUAAAUAUAGUUAGUGUGGGGAAACCGUUAGCAAGAAGUCAAACCUCAGGAUACUCGGUACUCAUGCAGGUUGACAAACCACAUGAUGUAAAGAAUGCAGGAAAACUGUCUACCAAAAGUCAAAACACUGUAUAUCAGAGGUCUCCCCCAGCAGAAAACGCCUAUGGGUAGAAGGAAGGUGGGAAACCGUUUCACUGCAAUUCAGUCCUCACUAUGUAUCAGAGAACUCACAGAGGGGAGAUAAAAACCCUAUGCAUACAAUGAGUGUGGAAAAACCUUUUUUCACAAGUCAGACCUAUGAUUCAUGAGAGAACUCACACAUGUGAGAAACCAUAUGAAUGUGAACAUGUGGAAAAACGUUCCCACCGAAGUCAGUCCCCAUAGUACAACAGAAAAUUCACUCUGGAGAGAUACCACACGAAUGUAAAGGAUUUCUCCUAGAAGUCACUCCCCGCUGUACAUCAGAAAAUCCACACAAGAUACCCUGUGAAUGUAAAGAAUGUAGGAAAACUCUAUCGGAAGUCAGCGCUCACUCUACAUCAGAGAAUUCACACAGGGGAACCCUAUGAAUGUAAUGAAUGUAGGAAAACAUUCCACAAAAUGUCAGAACUAACUAUACAUCAGAGAACUCACAUAGGAUAAAAACCCUAUGAAUGUAAUGAGUGUGGAAAAUCAUUUUGCCUGAAGCCAGUCCUCAGUAUACAUCAGAGAACUCACAAAGGGGUGAAACCCCUAUGAAUGUAGUGAAUGUGGAGAAAACUUCUACCAGAAGUCAGGCCUGACUCUGCGUCACAUAAUCCACAGUUGAGACCCCAUCUGAAUGUAAAGGAUGUAGGGAAACUCUACCAGAGGUCAACCCUCACUGCACAUCAGAGCACACAGGAAAAAUACGUUAUCCAUGUGCUGAAUGUGGAAAAUCCUUUUUCCACAAAUCAUAUCUCAAACAGCAUCAGAUGGCUCAUAGAAGGGAGAAAUUCAGUGUGUCAGAGACUGGCUAGUGUUUCCACAAAAACAUCCUCUUUUCUCUAAGACACAAUUAGCCUGCAUGUCUCAGCGUCCCAUCAUCAUGGAUGGUAUCGUGUAACGGCUCUGCCGGGAGAAUAUGGACACACGCGGUGAACAUUACUUCCAGGCCUGACAACAAAAAAUGUCAUCUGAUUUCUCAUGGCACCUUGGACUGAAGUGCAGAUGGCAACUCCCAGGGUGGCCUUGGGAGCCACGGGUAAGAGAAGGCCACCCUGAUUGAGGACAGAAGCAAUUCACUGAAGAGAGCAGAAAUCUUCCCACGUCUAUGCUAAAAUCCUCAUUGGUACUUUAUUUGAAUAAGGAAUUCCUCCUUUAUCCACCCACUGUAUACUGGCCUGUUUGCAGCAACACAAACAACACGUUGUAGCUAAUUUGUGAGCUUUCUGAGAGAAGGUGCUAGUUUUUCGAUAUCAGGAAAUUCACACAGGAGAGAAACCUGUGUUGUCACCUUUAAUCCCAAAUCUGUUUAUGGAAAAGUCAGUUAAAUGUGAGAAGAAACAACGUGACAUAUUUGGAACAUCUUGUCGCAGGGUCAUCUCACUGAAUGCUGAGAAUAAAGUGCAUCUUUUUUUUUUUUUUUUUGAGACAGAGUUUCACUUGUUACCCAGGCUGGAGUGCAAUGGCACGAUCUCGGCUCACCGCAACCUCCGCCUCCUGGGUUCAGGCAAUUCUCCUGCCUCAUCCUCCUGAGUAGCUGGGAUUACAGGCACGCGCCACUGUGCCCAGAUAAUUUUUUGUAUUUUUAGUAGAGACGAGGUUUCACCGUGUUGACCAGGAUAGUCUCGAUCUCUUGACCUCGUGAUCCACCUGCCUCGGCCUCCCAAAGUGCUGGGAUUACAGGCUUGAGCCACCGCGCCCGGCCCAUAAAGUGCAUCUUUAUGAAGACUUUUAAUGUGUCAAAGCUUUCGAACAAGACUUCCAACAAUAUAUGUCAGAGAAUUUGAAAUGAAGUAAAACUAUCAAUGUGUAAUAUAGAUGUAAAUUCCCUAAGAGAAAUGUUAAACCAUUGAAAGUGUGUAAUAUAUUUGACCAUAUGUAGUUAAAUAUGAGAGAUGGCAUACCCUGCCAGGGGAUAUUUGGCCGUGAGGGGUGACGACUUUGGUUGUCACUGGAGGCUGGGAGGGGCUACUGGCACCCAGUGGGUAGAGCCCAGGUCGCUGUUAAACAGCCUGCCGGGCACAGAGAAGCCCCCUCAGUGAGGCAGCGGAUGCGUAUGAGUGUUCUAUGUUAACAGAAUUUUCCCCGAUAGGACCAGGCAUAAUUGUGGGUAGGAAACAUACACAUUCGGUGUAAUAAGUAUUGUGACUUACAUUAACAUUUUCCACAUUAAAUGCCACUCCAGCCACUUUCUGGUUUGUUAAACACAUUAGCCCGACAGUACCAAAGUCGGCUUUUUUUCCUACUCUCCUCGUGUAUGUAAAUUAUUGCAUCCAGUGUUAACAAAUUGUCACUUAAGAAGAUAUUUUUCUAAAGCUCGAUGCCAGCACAGUGCCAACCAAUUAGUCUAAUAGAAACAUCAUUCCCUGGCCGGGCACGGUGGCUCACGCCUGUAAUCCCAGCACUUUGGGAGGCCGAGGCAAGUGGAUCAUGAGGUCAAGAGAUCGAGACCAUCCUGGUCAACAUGGUGAAGCCCCGUCUCUACUAAAAAUACAAAAAAUUAGCUGGGCACGGUGGCGCGUGCCUGUAAUCCCAGCUACUCAGGAGGCUGAGGCAGGAGAAUUGCCUGAGCCCAGGAGGCGGAGGUUGCGGUGAGCCGAGAUGGCGCCAUUGCACUCCAGCCUGGGUCACAAGAGCGAAACUCCGUCUCAAAAAAAAAAAAAAAAGAAACAUCAUUCUCAUAGAAACUCACACGUCAGUCAUAACUGUUAACAGCGUAGGUCUGCAUUUUUAAACACCUCUGAACAAUAGUCCUGUUUUUAUUCAACUCAGUGAAAAGCAGUCCCGAACAGACCUCUCCUUGUUCCUAGCCCUGGUAUCUUUAAUGGGACAGCCACAUAGGUGUGAGUGUGUGCACCAGGUGCUGUGUGGCUGAGGGAUCUCUGCAUUUCACUUCUAGUGGUGGACAGCUGCACCGUGCCUCCGCAGUGACAGGGCCUGCGUGACGUGGACCUUAACCUCCUGGGGCUUCUAUGUCUCCAUAUUCACUAAGUCAUUAACAAUAGACACUUCCUCAAAGGGUCACUGUGAGAAACAAAGUAGCACAGUGCUUUGAAUACACGGACACUUGGCAAACAACAUAUUCACUAGAGCUGUGACCGUUUACAGAAUCGCUCUGUCGUGAAUUGAGGGGAGCAGUAAGCCACUGUGUGCCCACACCAGAGCCGUCUUCAGCUUUUAACAGUCUGGGUUUGGUUAUGUUACUUCAACAGUUAUUCCGGGAUUUCACUUGGUUGAGGUUUUGCGAUUGGCUCGAACUAGUGUUUCCUUCAGUGGUCUCUGGACUCAGCAUAUGAGCAGAGGUUAACUUUAUAACAGUGCUCACCGCAGAACGUAGACAUACGGCAGUCACAGCGCACAGCACUGACCAGAACACUGCUUCGAGGAUGCCUACGAUGGUGUCCUGGGCAGCUACAAGCACUAGAAAUGAAGUUAUUUAUUAUUCUCUUGUUUGAAGGAAAUAUGUUUGUAUAUUGAUAAGCUGUCACAGCAA